rnacentral:sRNA from 1 species
AAAGUUUCUGAAACGUAAUCCCAGCCAGCGGAUUGGGGGUGGCCCAGGGGAUGCUGCUGAUGUGCAGAGACAUCCCUUUUUCCGGCACAUGAAUUGGGACGACCUUCUGGCCUGGCGUGUGGACCCCCCUUUCAGGCCCUGUCUGCAGUCAGAGGAGGACGUGAGCCAGUUUGAUACCCGCUUCACACGGCAGACGCCAGUGGACAGUCCCGAUGACACGGCCCUCAGCGAGAGUGCCAACCAGGCCUUCCUGGUGAGUGCGGUGGCCUGAGGCCUGUGGGACCAGGGCAGGGAUCGUGACUAAGGAUGGCAGGCACUAAGUGUCUCAUGGCCCUGCCUCCACCCCCCAGGGCUUCACAUACGUGGCGCCAUCUGUCCUGGACAGCAAGGAAGGCUUCUCCUUCCAGCCCAAGCUGCGCUCACCCAGGCGCCUCAACAGUAGCCCCCGGGCCCCCAUCAGGUACUGAGGGACGUGGGGGUGUGUGGCUGGGGUAGGGACACUAGCAGGCAGGACACCAGCUCCAGCCUUGGGUGCCUUGGCCACGUCUGUCAGCCAGUGUUGGCUUCGGUUGCUGUGUCUACCAUGGGGACCUCAGUUCCUACACCCCUUGUGGCCAGGCUGCCUGGAUGGGAGUUUGUGGAGCCCAUGGCCUGUGUGCCUGGGCAGGUGGGAGAGGCUGCCUUCCCUGAUCGAGUACUGGCAGCCUCUGGCAGGGCCUA